rnacentral:rRNA from 1 species
GGCGUGUACUGCUUGGCUGGGCCUUACUUCUUGGUGAGCCGGCGUGCCCUUUAUUGGUGUGCGUCGGGGAACCAGGACUUUUACCUUGAGAAAAUUAGAGUGUUCAAAGCAGGCCUAUGCCUGAAUACAUUAGCAUGGAAUAAUAGAAUAGGACGUGCGGUUCUAUUUUGUUGGUUUCUAGAGUCGCCGUAAUGAUUAAUAGGGACAGUUGGGGGCAUUGGUAUUGAGUCGCUAGAGGUGAAAUUCUUGGAUUGACUCAAGACCGACUAUUGCGAAAGCAUUUGCCAAGGAUGUUUUCAUUAAUCAAGAACGAAGGUUAGGGGAUCGAAAACGAUCAGAUACCGUUGUAGUCUUAACAGUAAACUAUGCCGACUAGGGAUCGGAUGACCUCAAAAUUGAUGUGUCAUUCGGCACCUUACGAGAAAUCAAAGUCUUUGGGUUCUGGGGGGAGUAUGGGUCGCAAGGCUGAAACUUAAAGGAAUUGACGGAAGGGCACCACCAGGUGUGGAGCCUGCGGCUUAAUUUGACUCAACACGGGGAAACUCACCAGGUCCAGACAUAACUAGGAUUGACAGAUUGAUAGCUCUUUCAUGAUUUUAUGGGUGGUGGUGCAUGGCCGUUCUUAGUUGGUGGAGUGAUUUGUCUGGUUAAUUCCGAUAACGAACGAGACCUUAACCUGCUAAAUAGCCAGGCCGGCUUCGGCUGGUCUCUGGCUUCUUAGAGGGACUGUCAG